GGUUGCGAUCAUACCAGCACUAAUGCACUAGAUCCCAUCAGAACUCCGCAGUUAAGCGUGCUUGGGCGAGAGUAGUACUAGGAUGGGUGACCCCCUGGGAAGUCCUCGUGUUGCAACCC
rnacentral:rRNA from 1 species